rnacentral:rRNA from 1 species
GCUCGUGUCGUGAGAUGUUGGUUAAGUCCCGCAACGAGCGCAACCCCUAUUGUUAGUUGCCAUCAUUCAGUUGGGCACUCUAGCGAGACUGCCGGUAAUAAACCGGAGGAAGGUGGGGAUGACGUCAAAUCAUCAUGCCCUUAUGACCUGGGCUACACACGUGCUACAAUGGUUGGUACAACGAGUUGCGAGUCGGUGACGGCGAGCUAAUCUCUUAAAGCCAAUCUCAGUUCGGAUUGUAGGCUGCAACUCGCCUACAUGAAGUCGGAAUCGCUAGUAAUCGCGGAUCAGCACGCCGCGGUGAAUACGUUCCCGGGCCUU